rnacentral:ncRNA from 2 species
GAGCUUGACUCUAGUCCGACU